rnacentral:rRNA from 1 species
ACACAUGCAAGUCGAACGAGCGAGAGAGAGCUUGCUUUCUCGAGCGAGUGGCGAACGGGUGAGUAACGCGUGAGGAACCUGCCUCAAAGAGGGGGACAACAGUUGGAAACGACUGCUAAUACCGCAUAAGCCCACGGCUCGGCAUCGAGCAGAGGGAAAAGGAGCAAUCCGCUUUGAGAUGGCCUCGCGUCCGAUUAGCUAGUUGGUGAGGUAACGGCCCACCAAGGCGACGAUCGGUAGCCGGACUGAGAGGUUGAACGGCCACAUUGGGACUGAGGCACGGCCCAGACUCCUACGGGAGGCAGCAGUGGGGAAUAUUGCACAAUGGGGGAAACCCUGAUGCAGCGACGCCGCGUGGAGGAAGAAGGUCUUCGGAUUGUAAACUCCUGUUGUUGGGGAAGAUAAUGACGGUACCCAACAAGGAAGUGACGGCUAACUACGUGCCAGCAGCCGCGGUAAAACGUAGGUCACAAGCGUUGUCCGGAAUUACUGGGUGUAAAGGGAGCGCAGGCGGGAAGACAGGUUGGAAGUGAGAUCUAUGGGCUCAACCCAUAAACUGCUUUCAAAACUGUUUUUCUUGAGUAGUGCAGAGGUAGGCGGAAUUCCCGGUGUAGCGGUGGAAUGCGUAGAUAUCGGGAGGAACACCAGUGGCGAAGGCGGCCUACUGGGCACCAACUGACGCUGAGGCUCGAAAGUGUGGGUAGCAAACAGGAUUAGAUACCCUGGUAGUCUACACCGUAAACGAUGAUUACUAGGUGUUGGAGGAUUGACCCCUUCAGUGCCGCAGUUAACACAAUAAGUAAUCCACCUGGGGAGUACGACCGCA